UACCAGCUCUCCGAGUGGUGUGGACGUUUAUUGGGCCUAAAGCAUCCGUAGCUGGCUGAACAAGUCCUUUGUUAAACCCAACGAUUUAAUCGUUGGUCUGCGGGGGAUACUGUUCGGCUAGGGGACGAGAGAGGCAGACGGUAUUUCCGGGGUAGGGGUGAAAUCCUAUAAUCCCGGGAGGACCACCAGUGGCGAAGGCUGUCUGCUAGAACGCGCCCGACGGUGAGGGAUGAAAGCUGGGGGAGCGAAC
rnacentral:rRNA from 1 species